rnacentral:rRNA from 1 species
AGUGAACGCUGGCGGUAGGCCUAACACAUGCAAGUCGAACGGCAGCACAGUAAGAGCUUGCUCUUACGGGUGGCGAGUGGCGGACGGGUGAGGAAUACAUCGGAAUCUACUUUUUCGUGGGGGAUAACGUAGGGAAACUUACGCUAAUACCGCAUACGACCUACGGGUGAAAGCAGGGGAUCUUCGGACCUUGCGCGAUUGAAUAAGCCGAUGUCGGAUUAGCUAGUUGGCGGGGUAAAGGCCCACCAAGGCGACGAUCCGUAGCUGGUCUGAGAGGAUGAUCAGCCACACUGGAACUGAGACACGGUCCAGACUCCUACGGGAGGCAGCAGUGGGGAAUAUUGGACAAUGGGCGCAAGCCUGAUCCAGCCAUACCGCGUGGGUGAAGAAGGCCUUCGGGUUGUAAAGCCCUUUUGUCGGGAAAGAAAAGCAGCAGGUUAAUACCCCGCUGUUCUGACGGUACCCAAAGAAUAAGCACCGGCUAACUUCGUG